GGAUAAUGUACAUAUCCUUACUACAAAAGCUUACCGUCAUCGCGUAGUAUUUCCUUGCGGCCUGUACUUCGCCUAUAUAACAUUUCAGUCAAACCGUGUCUACAAAGGCAACAUCAAUCAUUAAUCUGACAUAAAGAUGUCAACGACUCCCCGCUACCCUUACUACUCUGAACUGAGUAGGAGGGAACAUACAUUCAGUUAUUUCCCCAAAACCCGGAUAAGGCUUUGGGAUAUCCUCGCUGAGGCAGGGUUUUUUUAUACAGGGGAUAAAGAUAGUGUGAAGUGCUUCUUCUGUAAUGGUGCACUUUGUAAUUGGGAGUAUAAUGACGAUCCCUGGGUCGAACAUGCACGCUGGUAUUCUGACUGUCCUUUUGUGAAAUCAG